rnacentral:rRNA from 1 species
AGAGUUUGAUCCUGGCUCAGAAUGAACGCUGGCGGCGUGCUUAACACAUGCAAGUCGCACGAGAACGUUUCAGCUUGCUGAAACCAGUAAAGUGGCGCACGGGUGAGUAACGCGUGGGUAAUCUACCUCCGAAUUGGGGAUAACAUUGCGAAAGCGAUGCUAAUACCGAAUGACAUCUCAAUAACUCCGGUCUUUGAGAUCAAAGGUGGCCUCUCCAUGGAAGCUAUUGUUUGGAGAUGAGCCCGCGUACCAUUAGCUUGUUGGUAGGGUAAUGGCCUACCAAGGCAACGAUGGUUAGCUGGUCUGAGAGGAUGAUCAGCCACACUGGAACUGACACACGGUCCAGACUCCUACGGGAGGCAGCAGUGAGGAAUUUUGCGCAAUGGGGGAAACCCUGACGCAGCAACGCCGCGUGAGUGAUGAAGGCUUUCGGGUCGUAAAGCUCUGUCAGGUGAGAAGAACCUGCCCUUUGCUAAUAUCACUGGGCAUUGACGGUAUCACUGAAGGAAGCACCGGCUAACUCCGUGCCAGCAGCCGCGGUAAUACGGAGGGUGCAAGCGUUAUUCGGAAUCACUGGGCGUAAAGAGCGCGUAGGCGGUUUCUAAAGUCAGAUGUGAAAGCCCGGGGCUCAACCCCGGAAGUGCAUUUGAAACUUAGGGACUUGAGUAUGGGAGAGGGAAGUGGA